rnacentral:rRNA from 1 species
AGCUGUUGUUCUGCCAAGAGCAUCGCAGCGUAGCUAAGUUUGGAAAGGAUAAACGCUGAAAGCAUCUAAGCGUGAAGCCAACUCUAAGAUGAAUCUUCUCUAAGCUCUCUAGAAGACUACUAGUUUGAUAGGCUGGGUGUGUAAUGGAUGAAAGUCCUUUAGCUGACCAGUACUAAUAGAGCGUUUGGCUUAUCUUUAAUAAAGCAU